CCGUAGCCCAAGAGAUCGGGAUAACACCUGGAAACAGAUGCUAAUACCGGAUAACAACAGAUGAUGCCUAUCAACUGUUUAAAAGAUGGUUCUGCUAUCACUCUUGGAUGGACCUGCGGUGCAUUAGCUAGUUGGUAGGGUAACGGCCUACCAAGGCGAUGAUGCAUAGCCGAGUUGAGAGACUGAUCGGCCACAUUGGGACUGAGACACGGCCCAAACUCCUACGGGAGGCAGCAGGU
rnacentral:rRNA from 1 species